GCGGUAGCCGUAACCCACGUCACGGCGCCGAGGAGAACCAGCGCGCAAACCGCGAAGAUGCUCCAGAUGUGCAACGGACGGUUCAUUUGGAAAAUGUCGAAUGUCGAAUGUCGAGUGACAAACGCAGACUCAGUGGUCGCUGAUAACGACAGAGUUUCAUAUUGCCGUUCCUUCGAGCUUCGUCAUUCGUCAUUCGUCAUUUUCACCAUGUAUCCCUUGCCGCGCACGGUGAGCAGCACGCGCGGCUCGACCACAUCAUCGCGCAGCUUCUGACGCAGAUUCGCGACGU
rnacentral:misc_RNA from 1 species